UACGUAGGGGGCAAGCGUUAUCCGGAAUUAUUGGGCGUAAAGAGUACGUAGGUGGCGACCUAAGCGCAGGGUUUAAGGCAAUGGCUCAACCAUUGUUCGCCCUGCGAACUGGGAUGCUUGAGUGCAGGAGAGGAAAGCGGAAUUCCUAGUGUAGCGGUGAAAUGCGUAGAUAUUAGGAGGAACACCAGUGGCGAAGGCGGCUUUCUGGACUGUAACUGACACUGAGGUACGAAAGCGUGGGGAGCAAACAGG
rnacentral:rRNA from 1 species